AGAGUUUGAUCCUGGCUCAGAAUGAACGCUGGCGGCGUGCCUAACACAUGCAAGUCGAACGAGAAAGUCCCUUCGGGGAUGAGUAUAGUGGCGCACGGGUGAGUAACGCGUGGGUAAUCUACCUUUGGAUUUGGGAUAACUUCGCGAAAGCGUAGCUAAUACCGGAUAGUCUGGCUUUAAUUAAUAAGUUGGUAAAGGGUGCCUCUAUUUAUACGCAUUCGUCCAAAGAUGAGCCCGCGUCUCAUUAGCUAGUUGGUGGGGUAAAGGCCUACCAAGGCAACGAUGAGUAACUGGUCUGAGAGGAUGAUCAGUCACACUGGAACUGAAACACGGUCCAGACUCCUACGGGAGGCAGCAGUGGGGAAUAUUGCGCAAUGGGCGAAAGCCUGACGCAGCAACGCCGUGUGAGGGAUGAAGGUUCUCGGAUCGUAAACCUCUGUCAGAAGGGAAGAACGGUUAUAGGUCUAACAGGCCUGUAAAUUGACGGUACCUUCAAAGGAAGCACCGGCUAACUCCGUGCCAGCAGCCGCGGUAAUACGGAGGGUGCAAGCGUUAUUCGGAAUUACUGGGCGUAAAGCGCGCGUAGGCGGCUUUGUAAGUCAGGGGUGAAAUCCCACGGCUCAACCGUGGAACUGCCUUUGAAACUGCGAGGCUUGAAUCCUGGAGAGGGUGGCGGAAUUCCUGGUGUAGGAGUGAAAUCCGUAGAUAUCAGGAGGAACACCGGUGGCGAAGGCGGCCACCUGGACAGGUAUUGACGCUGAGGUGCGAAAGUGUGGGGAGCAAAAAGGAUUAGAUACCCUGGUAGUCCACACUGUAAACGAUGGAUAGUAGGUGUCGGGGACUUGAUCUUCGGUGCCGUAGUUAACGCAUUAAGUAUCCCGCCUGGGGAGUACGGUCGCAAGGCUGAAACUCAAAGAAAUAGACGGGGGCCCGCACAAGCGGUGGAGUAUGUGGUUUAAUUCGAUGCAAACCGAAGAACCUUACCUGGGUUUGACAUGCAGGUGUUAGGGUGAAGAGAUUCAUCUGACCAUGCAGCAAUGCAUGGAGCCUGGACAGGUGCUGCAUGGCUGUCGUCGGCUCGUGUCGUGAGAUGUUGGGUUAAGUCCCGCAACGAGCGCAACCCCUAUUGCCAGUUGCUAACGGAUAAUGCUGAGCACUCUGGCGAGACUGCCGCCGACAAGGCGGAGGAAGGUGGGGAGGACGUCAAGUCAUCAUGGCCUUUAUGCCCAGGGCUACACACGUGCUACAAUGGCCGGCACAGACGGCAGCUUGGUGGAGACACUUGGCGAAUCCUCUAAAGCCGGUCCCAGUUCGGAUUGCAGUCUGCAACUCGACUGCAUGAAGUCGGAAUCGCUAGUAAUGGCAGGUCAGCAUACUGCCGUGAAUAAGAUCCCGGGCCUUGUACACACCGCCCGUCAAG
rnacentral:rRNA from 1 species